rnacentral:lncRNA from 1 species
CCUCAGCGUCAUGAAACAGCAUUUAUCAAGCGCCUAAUUGCCAGAGUGCUACAGGAAGCAUUCCAUGGAGUUUCACUGCCACAGUAGGGCCAAGUGUGACAGAGCCAGGCCUGAGCGCAGGAGGGAAUUGCUAUGGCCCUAGGUCUUGUCCACAGAGUCCUGCAAUUUGACACACAAAAAAAUGAUGUCUUUCCAGGUAUCCCUGGCGGUGCUGAGAUACCUGUGUGGGGCUGAGGCAUGGAAGCAGCGGUACACGCAGCGGUGGUGAUGGUGUAGACACACACCCCCAGAAAAAGGGAAGGGGGAGCAAGCUAUUUUAUUCUCAGGAAGCCUGAAGGGUAUGCUGCUGAGAGGAAGCUACAGCAGCAAGUGACACCCUCUUCAACAGUUUGCCAGGAUGGACUGGGGCAGCCCUGGAGUUGCAGUUCAGGAAUACAGAAGGUUCAGAUGUUCGGAAUGUCCGUGAAAGGCUGGCCCUGACCCGCCUGAUGUAGGGACAUGAUUCAUCUCCAGGCUCAAGCCCAUCAUUCAAAGAAAACACCGGAAGAGACUAGGUGUUCUGUGAAAUGGCGUAUUCCGAAGUCUCUGUCACUGAGAGAAGGAUGUAAGCGCAGGAUCAAAGCAUCAUCUUCAAAGAAGGUGAGGUACUGUUAAAUAACUCCUGGCAACAG